rnacentral:rRNA from 1 species
GACGAACCGAGCGAACGUUAUUCGGAAUCACUGGGCUUAAAGGGCGCGUAGGCGGGCGAUCAAGUCAGGGGUGAAAGCCCCCAGCUCAACUGGGGAAGUGCCUCUGAUACUGGUCAUCUCGAGGGAGGUAGGGGCGUGCGGAACUUCCGGUGGAGCGGUGAAAUGCGUAGAUAUCGGAAGGAACGUCGGUGGCGAAGGCGGCUACCUGGCCUGAUACUGACACUGAGGCACGAAAGCGUGGGGAGCAAACAGG